rnacentral:rRNA from 1 species
AUUGAACGCUGGCGGCAUGCUUUACACAUGCAAGUCGAACGGUAACAGGCCUUCGGGUGCUGACGAGUGGCGAACGGGUGAGUAAUGCAUCGGAACGUGCCCAGAGGUGGGGGAUAACGCAGCGAAAGCUGUGCUAAUACCGCAUGUGAUCUGAGGAUGAAAGCGGGGGACCAAGCAGCAAUGUUUGGCCUCGCGCCUCUGGAGCGGCCGAUGUCAGAUUAGGUAGUUGGUGGGGUAAAGGCCUACCAAGCCGACGAUCUGUAGCUGGUCUGAGAGGACGACCGGCCACACUGGGACUGAGACACGGCCCAGACUCCUACGGGAGGCAGCAGUGGGGAAUUUUGGACAAUGGGCGCAAGCCUGAUCCAGCAAUGCCGCGUGCGGGAAGAAGGCCUUCGGGUUGUAAACCGCUUUUGUACGGAACGAAAAGGCUCUGGCUAAUACCUGGGGCUGAUGACGGUACCGUAAGAAUAAGCACCGGCUAACUACGUG